rnacentral:tRNA from 18 species
GGGAAUUGAUGGGUGCUGGUGUGCCCUGCGGUCUUCAAAACCGUCUCAGGUAGUUAGGAGCUGCCCGGGUAGGUUCGAUUCCUACCAUUUCCC